GUGCCAGCAGCCGCGGUAAAACGUAGGAGCCUAGCGUUAUCCGAAUUCACUGGGCGUAAAGCGCGUGCAGGCGGCGCGGUAAGUUGGAUGUGAAAUCUCCCGGCUCAACUGGGAGGGGACGUUCAAAACUACCGGGCUCGAGGGCAGUAGAGGGAGGUGGAAUUCCCGGUGUAGUGGUGAAAUGCGUAGAUAUCGGGAGGAACACCAGUGGCGAAAGCGGCCUCCUGGACUGUACCUGACGCUGAGAUGCGAAAGCUAGGGGAGCAAACGGGAUUAGAAACCCUCGUAGUCC
rnacentral:rRNA from 1 species